rnacentral:rRNA from 1 species
UACGAAGGGAGCUAGCGUUGUUCGGAAUCACUGGGCGUAAAGCGCACGUAGGCGGAUGUGUCAGUCAGGGGUGAAAUCCCGGAGCUCAACUUCGGAACUGCCCUUGAUACAGCACGUCUCGAGUCCGAGAGAGGUGAGUGGAAUUCCUAGUGUAGAGGUGAAAUUCGUAGAUAUUAGGAAGAACACCAGUGGCGAAGGCGGCUCACUGGCUCGGUACUGACGCUGAGGUGCGAAAGCGUGGGGAGCGAACGGG